CUGAUCCCGAUCCAUGGCAUGGAGCUGAUCUCGAUCCAUGGCAUGGAGCUGAUCCCGAUACAUGGCAUGGAGCUGAUCUCGAUCCAUGGCAUGGAGUUGAUCUCGAUCCAUGGCAUGGAGUUGAUCUCGAUCCAUGGGAUGCAGCUGGGGCUGAUCCCAAUCCAUGGGCUGGGGCUGCUCCUUCGGGAGCUCUUCCUGAUGGGUACGAGCCUGGUGCUGGUGCUGGGAUGGGGCCGGGCUCAUCCCAAUGGGAAUGGCCCCAGUACUGGGUUGGUUCCGGGGGCAGGGAGGUGUUGGCGCUGGCCGCACCAGGAAGGUGGUGCUGGUGCUGGUGCUGGUGCUGCUCCUCCAGCACCGGCACCAUGGAGGUGUUGGUGCUGCUGUCGGUGUCGGUGCUGGCGCUGGCUCCAGGCCGUUCUGGGGUGCCCAUGCAGGCAGUGCCCAUCCCGGGGUGCCCGUGCCCAUCCCUGGUACCGGGCUCCCUCCCCACAGGCUCAGGUGUCGGCGCUGGAGCUCCGGGCCCGGCCGCUCCCCGAGGAUCCCGCGGAGCUGCAGCGGGAGCUGGAGCGGCUCCGGCUCGGCCGCGGCGGCCUGGAGGAGCAGAUCGCGCUGCUCAAGGAGCAGGAGCUGCAGCGACAUCCCACCGGAACUUAGGGAAUUGCGGGAAUUGCGGGACAUCCGCAGGGACCGGCACAGCUCCGGGAUGGGGGGAUCCAUCCUCAUCCUCAUCUUCAUCCUCAUCCCCAUCCCCGACCCCAAAACCCACAGCAGGGACCGGCACAGCUCCGGGAUGGGAGGAUCCAUCCUCAUCCUCAUCUUCAUCCUUACCCCUAUCCCCGACCCCAAAAUCCGCAGCAGCUCCGCUCAGGGGCGAGGGGGAUCCAGCCCCAUCCCUGUGCUCCAAUCCCACAGCGAUUUUUUGUCUCCUCAUUCCCUUUUCUCCAGGAAAAAGCUGCACUUUUCCCACCAGCCGACCAAAUUUGUCUAUUUUUGAUACAAUCCAGCAUCUCAUGGAUGCUUUACUCAUUUUCCUGUUGCAGUUUUUAAUGGAAAAAUGGGGAAUAUUCCUUUGUUUUAGCCCCAGAAGACCCAACUGAUUUAUUCCCCUCCAUCCUUCCAAGCCCUGCCCUCACCCCAUCCUAAUUUUUCCCCUUUUUCUAACAAAAAAAUCCCUGGAUUUGUGUUUUUGAAGGAUUUUUUUUUAGGAACUAGCAGGACUUUUAUAUGGAAUUUUUGGGAAUGGGGGUUUUUACUGGUGCUCCUGAGGGUGGGAAAGCCAUGGGAAGGGAGGUGAUGGCUCUGACCAUCCCCAGUCCCAGCUGGAAUAAACUUGGAAAAUCCAAAGUGGGAGUUCUGAGG
rnacentral:lncRNA from 1 species